CACACUAAGAAAAUUAAAAGGAUGCGCUCUAUACAUGCAGUCGAGCGAAUCGACGGGAGCUUGCUCCCUGAGAUUAGCGGCGGACGGGUGAGUAACACGUGGGCAACCUGCCUAUAAGACUGGGAUAACUUCGGGAAACCGGAGCUAAUACCGGAUACGUUCUUUUCUCGCAUGAGAGAAGAUGGAAAGACGGUUUACGCUGUCACUUAUAGAUGGGCCCGCGGCGCAUUAGCUAGUUGGUGAGGUAAUGGCUCACCAAGGCGACGAUGCGUAGCCGACCUGAGAGGGUGAUCGGCCACACUGGGACUGAGACACGGCCCAGACUCCUACGGGAGGCAGCAGUAGGGAAUCUUCCGCAAUGGACGAAAGUCUGACGGAGCAACGCCGCGUGAACGAAGAAGGCCUUCGGGUCGUAAAGUUCUGUUGUUAGGGAAGAACAAGUACCAGAGUAACUGCUGGUACCUUGACGGUACCUAACCAGAAAGCCACGGCUAACUACGUGCCAGCAGCCGCGGUAAUACGUAGGUGGCAAGCGUUGUCCGGAAUUAUUGGGCGUAAAGCGCGCGCAGGUGGUUCCUUAAGUCUGAUGUGAAAGCCCACGGCUCAACCGUGGAGGGUCAUUGGAAACUGGGGAACUUGAGUGCAGAAGAGGAAAGUGGAAUUCCAAGUGUAGCGGUGAAAUGCGUAGAGAUUUGGAGGAACACCAGUGGCGAAGCGACUUUCUGGUCUGUAACUGACACUGAGCGCGAAAGCGGUGGGGGAGCAAACAGGAUUAGAUACCCUGGUAGUCCACGCCGUAAACGAUGAGUGCUAAGUGUUAGAGGGUUUCCGCCCUUUAGUGCUGCAGCUAACGCAUUAAGCACUCCGCCUGGGGGAGUACGGCCGCAGGCUGAACUCAAGGAAUUGACGGGGGCCCGCCACAAGCGGGUGGGAGCAUGGUGGUUUAUUCCGAAGCACGCGAGAACUUACCAAGUCUGACAUCGUCUGACACCUAGAAGAAUAGGGCUUCCCCGUCGGGGACAGAGUGACCGUGAUGCAUGCUUGUCGUCAGCUCCGUUCAUGAAAUGGUGUUAGUCCCGCAACAGAUGCUACAUGAGUUAAUGGCCAGCACAUUCAGCUUGC
rnacentral:rRNA from 1 species